rnacentral:rRNA from 1 species
GACGAACGCUGGCGGCGUGCUUAACACAUGCAAGUCGAACGGGAUUUAGUAGACAGAAGCCUCGGCUAAAGAUUACUAAUGAGAGUGGCGAACGGGUGAGUAACGCGUGAGCAACCUGCCUAUGACAGUGGGAUAGCCUCGGGAAACCGGGAUUAAUACCGCAUAAAAUCGUAGAAACACAUGUUUUAACGGUCAAAGAUUUAUCGGUCAUAGAUGGGCUCGCGUCUGAUUAGCUAGUUGGUGAGAUAACAGCCCACCAAGGCGACGAGCAGUAGCCGGUCUGAGAGGAUGAACGGCCACAUUGGAACUGAGACACGGUCCAAACUCCUACGAGAGGCAGCAGUUGGGAAUAUUGCACAAUGGGGGAAACCCUGAUGCAGCGACGCCGCGUGAACGAAGAAGGUAUUCGUAUCGUAAAGUUCUGUCCUAUGGGAAGAUAAUGACAGUACCAUAGAAGAAAGCUCCGGCUAAAUACGUG